rnacentral:rRNA from 1 species
GAUGAACGCUGGCGGCGUGCCUAAUACAUGCAAGUCGAGCGAACGGACGAGAAGCUUGCUUCUCUGAUGUUAGCGGCGGACGGGUGAGUAACACGUGGAUAACCUACCUAUAAGACUGGGAUAACUUCGGGAAACCGGAGCUAAUACCGGAUGAUAUUUUGAACCGCAUGGUUCAAAAGUGAAAGACGGUCUUGCUGUCACUUAUAGAUGGAUCCGCGCUGCAUUAGCUAGUUGGUAAGGUAAUGGCUUACCAAGGCAACGAUGCAUAGCCGACCUGAGAGGGUGAUCGGCCACACUGGAACUGAGACACGGUCCAGACUCCUACGGGAGGCAGCAGUAGGGAAUCUUCCGCAAUGGGCGAAAGCCUGACGGAGCAACGCCGCGUGAGUGAUGAAGGUCUUCGGAUCGUAAAACUCUGUUAUUAGGGAAGAACAUAUGUGUAAUUAACUGUGCACAUCUUGACGGUACCUAAUCAGAAAGCCACGGCUAACUACGUG